GAUGAACGCUGGCGGCGUGCCUAAUACAUGCAAGUCGAGCGAACAGACGAGGAUCUUGCUCCUCUGACGUUAGCGGCGGACGGGUGAGUAACACGUGGAUAACCUACCUAUAAGACUGGGAUAACUUCGGGAAACCGGAGCUAAUACCGGAUAACAUGUUGAACCGCAUGGUUCAACAGUGAAAGACGGUCUUGCUGUCACUUAUAGAUGGAUCCGCGCCGCAUUAGCUAGUUGGUAAGGUAACGGCUUACAAAGGCAACGAUGCGUAGCCGACCUGAGAGAGUGAUCGGCGACACUGGAAGUGAGACACGGUCCAGACUCCUACGGGAGGCAGCAGUAGGGAAUCUUCCGCAAUGGGAGAAAUCCUGACGGAGCAACGCGGCGUGAGUGAAGAAGGUCUUCGGAUCGUAAAACUCUGUUAUUAGGGAAGAACAAAUGUGUAAGUAACUAUGCACGUAUUGACGGUACCUAAUCAGAAAGCCACGGCUAACUACGUG
rnacentral:rRNA from 1 species